AUGUGAUAGGGCCCCAUAUCCCCAUAGGAUCCCAUAUGGCCACAUACGGCCCCAUAGGAUCCCAUAGGGCCCCAUAUCCCCAUAGGAUCCCAUAUGGCCCCAUACGGCCCCAUAGGAUCCCAUAGGGCCCCAUAGCCCCAUAGGACCCCAUAAGGCCCUAUAGGACCCCAUACAGCCCCAUAGGAUCCCAUAGGGCCCCAUAGCCCCAUAGGAUCCCAUAGGAACCCACAGGAUCCCAUAGGAUCCCAUAGGGCCCCAUAGCCCCAUAGGGCCCCAUAGAAUCCCAUAGGUCCCCAUAGGAUCUGAUAGGGCCCCAUAUCCCCAUAGGAUCCCAUAUGGCCCCAUACGGCCCCAUAGGAUCCCAUAGGGCCCCAUAGCCCCAUAGGACCCCAUAUGGCCCCAUACGGCCUCAUAUGAACCCAUAGGGCCCCAUAUCCCCAUACAGCCCCAUACGGCCCCAUAGGAACCCAUAGGAUCCCAUACGGCCCCAUAGGAAUCCAUAGGGUCCAAUAUCCCUAUAUGGCCCCAUAAGGCCCC
rnacentral:lncRNA from 1 species